UCCCCGUAAACCGAGGCAGUCUCCUGUGAAAAAUACAACACAGGACGUGGGUUUCGCUCGUUAGCCGACUUAACGGUACAUCUCACGACACGAGCUGACGACAACCGUGCAGCACCUGUCUCUCAGUUCCCUUGCGGGCACUCUCCUAUCUCUAGGAGAUCCUGAGGAUGUCAAAAGUGGGUAAGGUUAUCGCUUACUGUCGAAUUAAACCACAUGCUCCACCGCUUGUGCGAGCCCCCGUCAAUUCCUUUGAGUUUUAAUGUUGCCAUCGUACUUCCCAGGCGGCAGACUUCACGCGUUAGCUUCGCUACAAGAAGGGUCGAUACUUCUGAUAGCUAGUCUGCAUAGUUUACGGCGUGGACUA
rnacentral:misc_RNA from 1 species